rnacentral:rRNA from 1 species
UACGGAGGGUGCGAGCGUUGUUCGGAAUCACUGGGCGUAAAGCGCGUGUAGGCGGCCCACUAAGUCUGAUGUGAAAGCCCGGGGCUCACCCCCGGAAGUGCAUUGGAAACUGGUGGACUCGAGUCCCGGAGAGGAGAGUGGAAUUCCUGGUGUAGCGGUGAAAUGCGCAGAUAUCAGGAGGAACACCGGUGGCGAAGGCGGCUUGCUGGGCCUUACCUGACGCUGAGGAGCGAAAGCGUGGGGAGCGAACAGG